rnacentral:rRNA from 1 species
GUGACUGCGUACCUUUUGUAUAAUGGGUCAGCGACUUAUAUUCUGUAGCAAGGUUAACCGAAUAGGGGAGCCGGAGGGAAACCGAGUCUUAACCGGGCGUUAAGUUGCAGGGUAUAGACCCGAAACCCGGUGAUCUAGCCAUGGGCAGGUUGAAGGUUGGGUAACACUAACUGGAGGACCGAACCGACUAAUGUUGAAAAAUUAGCGGAUGACCUGUGGCUGGGGGUGAAAGGCCAAUCAAACCGGGAGAUAGCUGGUUCUCCCCGAAAGCUAUUUAGGUAGCGCCUCGUGAAUUCAUCUCCGGGGGUAGAGCACUGUUUCGGCUAGGGGGCCAUCCCGGCUUACCAACCCGAUGCAAACUGCGAAUACCGGAGAAUGUUAUCACGGGAGACACACGGCGGGUGCUAACGUCCGUCGUGAAGAGGGAAACAACCCAGACCGCCAGCUAAGGUCCCAAAGUCAUGGUUAAGUGGGAAACGAUGUGGGAAGGCCCAGACAGCCAGGAUGUUGGCUUAGAAGCAGCCAUCAUUUAAAGAAAGCGUAAUAGCUCACUGGUCGAGUCGGCCUGCGCGGAAGAUGUAACGGGGCUAAACCAUGCACCGAAGCUGCGGCAGCGACGCUUAUGCGUUGUUGGGUAGGGGAGCGUUCUGUAAGCCUGUGAAGGUGGCCUGUGAGGGUUGCUGGAGGUAUCAGAAGUGCGAAUGCUGACAUAAGUAACGAUAAAGC